UCCAUUGCCCCUUCUCGACAAAUAUUUGGUGGAGCAUUUUGAGACUCUCAGGGGUGGCAUGGGUGGUGCCCUCCACCAUGGAAUCUCUCACAUGUGAAUGGCACGCUGACCCAGGAGAGGUGAUGGGGAAGAAAAUGGAGGAUUUUGUUCCUGGCAGCAUUGUGGGCAAUCUGGUCGGAAAGAAACAACCAUUGUUUCAAGAAUCUUUCUGUAGCCACGAUUGGAGUAUUCUCCUGGGUUCUUGACAUGUUUAGGGAAUGGGCCCCCUAAUUUCCUUUUCUUUUGGGGUUUCCUGGGGGUAUGCUGUCCUGGGGACAACUUGUGUAUAGUUUUAGGUUCUUUUAGUUUUUUUUUUUUUCCUGUUUCCUGUCUACUUUCUGUUGUUGUUUUCUGUUUUUGUUUCUUCUUUAAUAAAAUUCUUACCUUAAAAUAAAAUUUAAAAAAAAAAAAAAAAAAAAAAAAACUAAUCUCUUAUACCUCCGCAAGUCUUCAAUACAUCUCCCUGAUCACCAACAAGUUUGUGAUUUGGAUCCAUUGUAAAUCCAAAACGUAUUUCCAUUAAGACAAAUUAAAUCAUUCUUUGGAUUUGGCAACUUAUAUACCAAGAAAGUAUUGAAGAUGACCAAGAUCUUUUGUGAGAAAAUGCCUUUGAAGAUAUUUCUUCAUAUUCCUAAUCUCUUUUUCACUUCUUGUAACAACAAUAUCAUCAACAUAUAUCACCAAUACAAUAAAACCUGAAGUGCCUUUCCAGAUAAAAUGGGAUUGAUCGACAUAACUUCGAGCAAAGCUAUAGUUCAACACAACUUUACUGAAUUUGUCAAAUUAUGCACAUGGUGACUGCUUCAACCCAUAAAUUGCCUUGCAUAGUCACCAUGAAGAAAGGGAUAUUUUUACAUCAAGUAAGGAGUGUAAGCUAUGAUUAACGACCACAGAGAGGAUAACACAAAUAGAGUUCAACUUGGCAACAAGAGAGAAAGUCUUAAUAUAAUUAAUGCCAAGGGUCUGAGUAUAUUCCUUAGAAACCAAGCAAGCCUUUAAACUUUCAACCGUACAAUUGGGAUGAAACUUAAUAGUGUACACCCAUUUGCAAGUUGCAACCAGCAACAUGUUUAUCAGAAGGUUUACUAGUUAAUUUCCAAGUAUUAUUCUGAUGAAGAGCAAUCAUUUCCUCUUCCAUUGCCCGCUUUCACCCCUCAUGUAAAAGUGUUUCUUGGUGUGACUUGGGAAUAGAGUGAGAGGACACCGAUAUGGCAAAUCUAAGGAAAGUGGGUGAUAAGCAUUAGAAAGAGAUAUAUUUGGAGAUAAGAUGGUAAGUACACGCACGCUUACCUUUUCUCAAGCCAAUAUGAGCAUUGGACCAAUUUGGAAAAUUCACUAACUCACUAGGCUCGGAAGAAAAUAUUGGAGGUGAGCAUAUACUCCAUUCAAAGAUGGCAUAUCCUUGCCACUCAAAAUCUGUGCACAAACUUGUUCAUAUUCACGUUUUAAGCUGGAUAAGAACUUCGCCACACGGAACUCUUCUCAUUACUGAUGUUGCUUCUCUAAAUCAAUAGUAAGGGGUUGAUACAAAUUCAGCUCCUCUCACAUUCUUUUAAAUUUUUAAUAAUAUUCACUCAGUUAUUUAUUGCUUUGUUAAUGCGCAAAUAUUUCCUUAGUUAUCAUUCACUCAGUUAUUUAUUGCUUGGUUAAUGCACAAAUAUUUCCUCAAAUAAUUGAUGCGUCCGAGAGAUAUUUUUUCUGGAUGAAUACAUCUCUCGUGUUGUAUUUGACACUUCUUUUGCAGUAUCCAAAAACAUUACAUUUGCACUAAUGGAAGGUUCCAUACUAUUCCACAACCACGUCAUAAUUAAUCAUAGAUAUUGGCACUCUUAUCAGAUUUUUCAGCGGUCAAGUAUUUUAAUUUUCCCUUGGUAGUUAAAACACUUGGAUGGAUUUGGACCACCAAAGAUAGUUUGUCCAUUUAAUUUAAUGGAGGUUAUUUAGACCCUAAAAAAUCAAAAGGAUUUAUGAAUCUAGUUCUUGAAUCACUUUUCUCUUCCAUCUAGGACAAGGAACUAGAAUAUAUACCACAAGCAUUUACUAAUACAGGCUGACCUUUCAUGACCAACGAACGCCCAACAUGUAUGCUUCACACGGUAUGCACAAGAUACUUGAAGAGGAUAACCAGCCCACGCGUCCGCACAUUCCAACCAAUCAUGAGGGUUGAUGAUCAUGAACACGGCAUCUAACGAUGGCAAUCAGCCCAGACGUCCAUACAUUCUACACACGAGAGGUGAUGGUCACAAACACUUCAUCCCCUUCUAAUGCAUGGACCAUUGCAGAACCCCAAUACAACAAAAGGAAAAGAAACCCUAGGUUUCUUAAAAGAUUUUUAACAUGAGGGACGAGAGAGACCAAAAAAUAAAAGAAAAGGGAAUUAUAGGAUAGAAGGUAGAAAGAUCCAUUUGAUUAGCAACAAGGAUACUCUGAUACUAUGUAGAAUCAUAGAUUAAAAAGAGAAGAGAAGGGUAGACAAGAGAAGAGAGAGGAGAAAGUUGAGAGGAGAGGAAAAAAGAGUUAGGGCUAGGCGGUCCCCACUCUUCCCCUUUCUAUUGAUAAUAAAAACCGAAAAGUACAAAAAUACCAUCACUAAUAAUGUUAAUAUUUGAAACAAGUCCCAAUCCAAUAUAAUCAUUAAAUAUAAAAGAGAAAAAAAAAAAAA